CGAGGGGCAUCAGGAUGUAGCAAUACAUUGCUGGCGACCGGCGCACGGGUGAGUAACACGUAUCCAACCUGCCUUUUACUCGGGGAUAGGCUUUCGAAAGAAAGAUUAAUACCCGAUGGUAUAAUAUUUCCGCAUGGGAUUAUUAUUAAAGAAUUUCGGUAAAAGAUGGGGAUGCGUUCCAUUAGGCAGUUGGCGGGGUAACGGCCCACCAAACCUUCGAUGGAUAGGGGUUCUGAGAGGAAGGUCCCCCACAUUGGAACUGAGACACGGUCCAAACUCCUACGGGAGGCAGCAGUGAGGAAUAUUGGUCAAUGGGCGAAAGCCUGAACCAGCCAAGUAGCGUGAAGGAUGACUGCCCUAUGGGUUGUAAACUUCUUUUAUAGGGGAAUAAAAUGAGCCACGUGUGGCUUUUUGUAUGUACCCUAUGAAUAAGGAUCGGCUAACUCCGUGCCAGCAGCCGCGGUAAUACGGAGGAUCCGAGCGUUAUCCGGAUUUAUUGGGUUUAAAGGGAGCGUAGGUGGACAUGUAAGUCAGUUGUGAAAGUUUGCGGCUCAACCGUAAAAUUGCAGUUGAUACUGUGUGUCUUGGAGUACAGUAGAGGUGGGCGUACUCGUGGU
rnacentral:rRNA from 1 species